UGAACUCCCCAUGCGGAAGCCACUCCAGCCUGAGCGAUAAGGAGCACCAUGGCAGCGACUACAACGAAGAAAACUGCAAGCACUGGCACCAUGAGAGAGAGCAACCAGCACUGAGAACAGCCAAUACAGCCACAGCGGACCACAGCUCCACAUCCACGCAGGACGUGGACUUUCUUCAAAAGAAGUGAAUUUCAGACUGGAAAGUGAUGCUUUAAUCAUAUAAAUCAAAGAAGAAGGCUUAACAUCUUAGCUGCUGUUUAUACACUCGGUACUUUGUCAUUUUUUAUUGUGUACUCUUAAUAAAUUGGACCCUGUAUUCAUUUUCUAAAA